UUUUUUUUAAAUCAAAAGAUACUUACAUAUCAGUUGUUGAUUUCAAUUUCAUUAUAGAUCUAAUCACUAACUUCAGUUUUUAAAAGUGAUUUUGCUUCUAGAACUAGCGUAUUUUCAAAAUUACGUAGAUUCUAAAUCUAGAUCUAUUCACUUACUAUUUGACAACCGUGUCAGUAAAAUGAGGUCACCGCUUCCAGAUUCUUAGGUUUUAAUUAUGUUUGUCAUUUUGAUCUAUUAUAAGUAGCAUUAAAACAACUGCAUCUAUUAUCAACAUUGUUUUUAUAUGCCAGUUCUAAUUAUACAUUCUGUUCAUUACCAAUUCUAAUGAAAUCGUAUCAGGCCCUAACACCCUGUUCACCUACACUGACACUACACUUGAAUGACGCCACAGACAGUCGUAACUUUAAAUUAAUGUUCAAAAGUGUUUCUAAAAGCCAGAAUUUUAAAGGGGAGGGCGGUCGUUUUUUUUCUCAAGAAUAAUUAUAGAAAUAAGCUAUAAACUGGUAUAUUUUGUAAAGUUUGACAUAAUUACAAAUAAAUGUAUGCCUAAGUGAC